rnacentral:rRNA from 1 species
UGCAGAAUUCAGCGAGCCAUCGAAUCUUUGAACGCACAUUGCGCCCGCCAGCAUUCUGGCGGGCAUGCCUGUCCGAGCGUCAUUUCCUCCCUCACGCAGCGCGCCUGCGUGGUGUUGGGGCGUUCUGCGGCCAGGCCUGCGCCCA